rnacentral:lncRNA from 1 species
AGAUAACUGGACCUUCGACUUUGCUCAUAUUAGGAUGAGGUUCUCCUCCUAUUUUUAACAUGACUGUGGGGGCACAUAAGGGCCAUUGUAAGGGCCUCUCCCCCCAUCCGAUCUUUAAAUAAUCGGACCUUCAACUUUGCUCAUGUUAGGACAAGGUUCUCCUCCUGUUCCUAACAUGGCUGUGGGAGUACAUAAGGACCAUUGUAAGAGCCUCUCCCCCCAUCCGAUCUUUAAAUAAUCGGGCCUUCGACUUUGCUCAUGUUAGGACGAAGUUCUCCUCCUGUUCCUAACAUGACUGUGGAGGCACA